CCUACGGGUGGCAGCAGUGAGGAAUAGUGGUCAAUGGCCGGAAGGCUGAACCAGCCAAGCCGCGUGAAGGACGAAGGUGCCAAGCAUUGUAAACUUCUUUUGUCAAGGGACAAAAUCAGGCGCGAGAGCCUGACCGAGGGUACUGGAAGAAAAAGCAUCGGCUAACUCCGUGCCAGCAGCCGCGGUAAUACGGAGGAUGCGAGCGUUAUCCGGAUUUAUUGGGGUCAAAGGGUGCGUAGGCGGACUGUUAAGUCAGCGGUAAAAGCCCGGGGCUCCACCCCGGCGAGCCGUUGAAACUGGCUGUCUUUAGCUGUCGAGAUGUAUGCGGAUUGCGCCUUGUAGCGGU
rnacentral:rRNA from 1 species